rnacentral:rRNA from 2 species
CCACCACUAAGCCAGUGGUGAACUCCACAUACGCAUCCUUUGCUGAGGAUACGGUUAACGGAGCGAAAGCGACGUUCAACCUCAAAAGAAGCAGAGGGGGCUUAGUGGUGGGGUGACUGCGUACCUUUUGUAUAAUGGGUCAGCGACUUAUAUUCUGUAGCAAGGUUAACCGAAUAGGGGAGCCGGAGGGAAACCGAGUCUUAAUUGGGCGUUAAGUUGCAGGGUAUAGACCCGAAACCCGGUGAUCUAGCCAUGGGCAGGUUGAAGGUUGGGUAACACUAACUGGAGGACCGAACCGACUAAUGUUGAAAAAUUAGCGGAUGACCUGUGGCUGGGGGUGAAAGGCCAAUCAAACCGGGAGAUAGCUGGUUCUCCCCGAAAGCUAUUUAGGUAGCGCCUCGUGAAUUCAUCUCCGGGGGUAGAGCACUGUUUCGGCUAGGGGGUCAUCCCGACUUACCAACCCGAUGCAAACUGCGAAUACCGGAGAAUGUUAUCACGGGAGACACACGGCGGGUGCUAACGUCCGUCGUGAAGAGGGAAACAACCCAGACCGCCAGCUAAGGUCCCAAAGUCAUGGUUAAGUGGGAAACGAUGUGGGAAGGCCCAGACAGCCAGGAUGUUGGCUUAGAAGCAGCCAUCAUUUAAAGAAAGCGUAAUAGCUCACUGGUCGAGUCGGCCUGCGCGGAAGAUGUAACGGGGCUAAACCAUGCACCGAAGCUGCGGCAGCGACACUGUGUGUUGUUGGGUAGGGGAGCGUUCUGUAAGCCGUUGAAGGUGUGUCGUGAGGCAUGCUGGAGGUAUCAGAAGUGCGAAUGCUGACAUAAGUAACGAUAAUGCGGGUGAAAAACCCGCACGCCGGAAGACCAAGGGUUCCUGUCCAACGUUAAUCGGGGCAGGGUGAGUCGACCCCUAAGGCGAGGCCGAAAGGCGUAGUCGAUGGGAAACGGGUUAAUAUUCCCGUACUUGGUGUUACUGCGAAGGGGGGACGGAGAAGGCUAUGUUGGCCGGGCGACGGUUGUCCCGGUUUAAGCGUGUAGGUGUGUGUUCCAGGUAAAUCCGGUUCACUUUAACACUGAGGCGUGAUGACGAGGCACUACGGUACUGAAGCAACAAAUGCCCUGCUUCCAGGAAAAGCCUCUAAGCAUCAGGUAACAUCAAAUCGUACCCCAAACCGACACAGGUGGUCAGGUAGAGAAUACCAAGGCGCUUGAGAGAACUCGGGUGAAGGAACUAGGCAAAAUGGUGCCGUAACUUCGGGAGAAGGCACGCUGACAUGUAGGUGAAGUGAUUUACUCAUGGAGCUGAAGUCAGUCGAAGAUACCAGCUGGCUGCAACUGUUUAUUAAAAACACAGCACUGUGCAAACACGAAAGUGGACGUAUACGGUGUGACGCCUGCCCGGUGCCGGAAGGUUAAUUGAUGGGGUCAGCGCAAGCGAAGCUCCUGAUCGAAGCCCCGGUAAACGGCGGCCGUAACUAUAACGGUCCUAAGGUAGCGAAAUUCCUUGUCGGGUAAGUUCCGACCUGCACGAAUGGCGUAAUGAUGGCCAGGCUGUCUCCACCCGAGACUCAGUGAAAUUGAACUCGCUGUGAAGAUGCAGUGUACCCGCGGCAAGACGGAAAGACCCCGUGAACCUUUACUAUAGCUUGACACUGAACAUUGAGCCUUGAUGUGUAGGAUAGGUGGGAGGCUUUGAAGUGUGGACGCCAGUCUGC